GGCCCGAGCAGCGCCGUGGUGCCGUCGCGGCCCCGCGCGGGGGCGCUGUUGGGGCGCACCAUGCGGGAGCUGCUGCGCAGCCGGGGCCGCGGGCAGCGAGACCGGCACGACCCCGGCCCCGAGCGAGCGCCGCCCCGCGACGAUGCCGCCCCCGCCACACCUGCCCGCCGGGCUCGGGGCAGCGAGAGCGCAGAGGGGUCGGGGGGCCUGUCCCCCGGCGAGCUGACAUCCAUCCGGUGCAAGAACAUCCCUGAUGACCUCAACGACAGGACGGUGCUGGAGAAGCCCUUCAGCCAGUUUGUGAACUGCGGGUCGUGACCAGGCGCGAGAGAGAAAAGGCUGUUGUCCACUCUUUUGAUCACUUUUGUGAGCAUCGUGAGCGAAGGGUGUAAGAGCAGGCGUGGGUCUAAGUGCCCGGGACAGGGCCUACUCGGGUGAGAACCGCACCCCUCGGUGGUAAUGCUGUCGGUGUUUCUCCUGGGGGAAAGCUUUGUGAUGUGACCACUGUGUGAAAGACAGAGAUAGAAGUGUACUGAGCUGCAUCUAGAAUGCCUGAGCUGCAAGAGAAUCGUAGAACCAUUGGGUUGGAAAAGACCUGAUUGAUCAUCAACUCCAACCGUACCUGUCUACUACUAAAUCAUGACCCUAAGCACCUCAUCUACCUGCCUUUUAAACAUCUCCAGGGACAAUGACUCAACCACCUUCCUGGGCAGCCUGUUCCAGUGCUUGAUAACCCUUUCUAUGAAGAAGUUUUUCCCAAUGUCCAAUCUGAACUUCUCUUGAUGCAGCUUGAGGCCAUUCCCUCUUGUCCUAUUACCUGUCACUUCGGAGAAGAGACCAACACCCACCUCUCUGCAACCUCCUUUUAGGGAGUUAUAGAGAGCAAUAAGGUCUCUUCUCAGUCUCCUCCAGGGUAAAAAGCCCCAGUUCCCUCAGCCGCUCCUCGUAAGACUUGUAAGAGCUCUGCCUGGCUUUAGCUGUCCUGUUAGCAUCUCGCUGAAACACCAAGUGGAUCUCAGGCUUGACAGCUUCACGGGCGGGCGAGGGGAGCUUGUGCCUUCCUUGCAGGAUGACCUGCUUACUGCGAAUGCUGCUGUUACCUCUGCUCCGAGCUGUGUCCAGGAGCCAGUUUGGAGACAGUGUUGUGUUGUUUCUGGUUUGUGCUUCAAAACACACCUUUGGUCUUGACUGCCUCUGACCUGGCUGUAGCAAAACGCAGUGAUCUUUGUGGCAGCGUGCCUUGUCCUGCUGGUUGAGUGUGAGUGAGAGGCUGAAGUGCAGUAAGCAGAAUUUUGUAGAAAUUGAUAAAUUUCUACAGGUGAAUCAAGCCCUGCAUGUAGAUCCUGAACAAUUUGUUUGGUUGCUCCAAGAUCCCGUACUAAGUUUCUCUUGCUAUGUUACAGUUAGUUAGGGAGCAAAGCUUGUUGAAAUGAGCCCUGAUUUAGUUUUCAGUUUUUCUGUGUGAGCUUCUUUAACUUUUAAGUUCUUGAUGAAAAUGAGUCGUAUGUCUAAGUGUCCAGUUUUUCCUGCAGCGGGAAAUGGAACAAUAUAGCUACUGCAGUACCAGAAACAGCGUUAGACUUUUAAAGAAGACAGAGCAUAUCGUUCAUUCAAGUUGCUUUAGAGAUAGGGGAGACUUCCAGGGAGAGGAAGGUGGAGGCGCUGGAAGAAGAAACUACUUCCUGGGGGAUGAGGAGUAACAACGGCACCAGACAGAAACAGCAGUUGUGAUUAUCCCCAUACGAUAACCGCUGCUUUUCAUUUCCUCUUAAUCUUUGCAGAUUCUACCUUAAUUGAUUCCAUUCUGCAGCGAUUAUCUGGACAGGAGGAGAGAUCUGAAAAGUACAAAGAUGUAAAGAAAACGUUUGAGGUUUGGCAGCCACAAAUCUGCAGAAGGCACUGUGAGCCUUUGUCAACCUGGCUUUCUCAAAGAAAGCAACUGUGUGUGAAGUCUCUUAAUCCUAGAGUUUCUGGUUUAAUGGCAAGACACGCUGGGAUCCAUGGUUUGUGUUAUGGAGUACUGCUGGCUGCCAAUAGAAGAGAGACGAUGGACCAAAGCCUGGAUUCAUGCAGUAGAAACAUUUGCUGUAUUCCCUAUGAGCUAAAGAAACAGCCCACCAAGGGAAGAAACCCCAAAAGGAAAUGUGUAUUUCAGUGCUGCACACCCUGAAGGUCUUUGCUAUCAUCAAUUUUAACUAAAAACUGUAUUGAUUUUCUUCUUUUUUUUUUUCUUUAAUAUAUAUAUAAUUUCAGCUUGGGAAUUGAUUAAAGAAUCUCCAUGGAAUUUAAUAUGGCAUCAUGGCAGUCAUCUCCGUCAACAGAGGAUCAGACUUCCUCCGAAACAGAUGAUCUCUGUCUGUCACUGCAAGUGCACCGAGAGUCUACGCAGAAGAAAGCCUUCGCUAGCUGGAUAAAUUCAGUAUUGGCAAAGGUGUAACAGCGUUGUAUUGAUCAGCCAAGGACAUCUGUAUCGGACAAUUUGUUCUCUUACGCAAUUCGAGAACAUGAGUUUAAUGGGAUGACCUGAGUGACUGCUAAGUGUUAAGACAACCCAGAAUGUAGGGUAGGUGCUCCUUAAGCUUUCACAAAGCAGCUCGUUAUGUGCUGGACUUCUGGCUUGCUCUGGUAAAAACUGUAAAUCCUGUUUUGGACCCUCCUUGGGUGGAAGCUGCUGAGCUAAUGGUAGAUUUAUGUUGUCCAGUGGAUGAAAAGAGUAAGAGUUUAGUUAUUCAGUUCUGUAGUCAAAUUUGAACUGAGGAUACAUUGAUUAAAAAGUCAAAAUAUGAAUUAACUGCUUGUCUUAACUUUCCCUUUUUCAAAGUUUUGGAGGUCUUUUGUCACAUCCCACCUUAAAAAGUAUAAAUACUUCAAAAUGUGGCCUAAAAUAACCCUUAUGAAACUUAGAGGCAGGGCAAGGGGGAGUAAGAGGCAAACGUGAUAAUGGUUUGGAAGAAGCAAGCUAUGGCUGAUUAGAAUUUAUCUUUCAUCUUGUUGAAAAAAAUAACGGAUGCUAAACAUUUCUUUAUUUUACAGCAGAGCCAUCUCUGAUGUUGUGUAGUGUGUUGAAUUCAAAAUGACAAAAGAUGGUGUAACAAACGUUGACAUUUGUUUUGCGGCAUGCACCUCCUUCAGUCAUCUCAGACCUGUAUGCAGACAUUUGCUUUUGGAUCUUUUGGAAGUGCUUUCAGGUGAACGUCUGCCACAGGGGAAAAAAGGAUUUAAUACCUUCCAGUGCAGAAGCAACAUAGAAAAUACUGUGACAUUUUUAAAGAGCAGAUCACUCAAGCUCAUAAAUAUUCAUGUUGCUGACAUUACCGAAGGAAACCUUUCCAUUGUGCUUGGCCUAAUUUGGACAGUUAUAUUUCAUUUUCGUAGGUGAAAGCUGGCCACAACCUAAUGGAGCAACACCUCAGUCUCCCACCUUCUUCCACCGUAUAUUACGAGCAGCUUUACAGUUUCUGUUCUUCCUUCUGCUGCUUUUACUUCUGGCUUUCCUAUUUCCAUAUUGUGAGGAAGUCUACAGCUGCGCCGAGCGAAACAACUUCAAGUAUUCUUUCCAUUUCAUGCUGCAAUACCCCAUCCAUCUUAGGGCCUCCACCAUCUAAGAAAGCAGCCCAGGAAUAAAUACAUUAACAAUAAAAGGAGAGAAUGUUCAGUCCUUAUUGGAUGCAAAGGAACAACUGUGACAAAGGAUGAGGACAAGGCUGAGGUACUUAAUGCCUUCUUUGCCUCAGUCUUUAGUAGUAAGGAAAGUUGUUCCCUGUGUCAACAUACCCAGGAGUUAGAGGAGCAGAACAAAGCUCCCAUGUUCCAAGAAGAGGCGGUUAGAGACUUACUUGCCCGAUUAGACACUCACAAGUCUAUGGGGCAGGAUGGGAUCCAUCCAAGAGUAUUGAGGGAGCUGGCAGACGUGCUUGCCAAACCCCUUUCCAUCAUCUUCCAGCAGUCCUGGCUGACUGGGGGGAGGUUCCACUUGACUGGAGGCUGGCUGAUGUUAUACCCAUCUUUAGGAAGAGUCUGAGGGAGGGCCCAGGAAACUACAGGCCUGUCAGUCUGACCCCAGUGGCAGGGAAAGUCAUGGAACAGGUGAUCUUGAGUGCUAUCAUGAAGCACAUGCAAGGGAACCGGUGAUCAGGCCCAGUCAACAGGGGUUCAUGGAAAGGCAGGUCUUGCCAAACUAACCUGAUCGCCUUCUAUGACAAAGUGACCCGCCCACUGGACAAGGGAAAGGCUGUGGAUGUAGUCUUCCUGGAUUUCAAUAAAGCCUUUGACACAGUUCCUCACAGUAUUCUGCUUAGGAAACUGUCUGCCUCUGGCCUGGACAGGCGCACAACUCUCCUCGGUAAAAGACUGGCUGGAUGGCUGGGUCCAAAGAGUGGUGGUGAGUGGAGUUAACUCCAGCUGGAGGCCGGUCAACAGGUGGUGUCCCGCAGGGCUCAGUGCUGGGUCCAGUACUAUUCAAUGUCUUUUAUCAAUGACCUGGAUGAGGGGAUCGAAUGAGUAAGUUUGCAGACGGCACUAAGCUGGGUGGAAGUGUCGAUCUGUGGGGGUCCGCAGUGGGCUGAGGACCCCUGCUGACUAUACCCAUAAGGCCGAGAUGUAAACAAGGAGGCAACACCUGCAGAACUUGGAGAUCAGGGGAAGGAAGUGAGCAGCCAAUACAGGACCGUGUGAGAAAGAAGUACCAUCCAGUCACAGACUGUUUAUAUAUAAGCUAAUCCAAUCAUGUGGAGAAGCGUGUGUAGGCAAAGGGUAUAAGAGGCAUAUGUAAGAUCAAUAAAGAAGCCAGCGAUGUAACAUCAAGAAGCCAUGUAACAUCAAUAA